rnacentral:lncRNA from 1 species
UUUGCUCAGUGCGUUUUAAACACACACAUAAUUACAACAAUCCAAGUCUUCAGGAAAAUAAAAUGAGGUUAAAGGGUCACAUUCCAAAGCAGUGAUUUAUUAUUUGUAGUGAUGCCUUAAAGGUUUUAUUUUUUCCUAUUUGAUAUCACUCUCUCCCAAACCCCAGGAUCUGAGGGCAAAAACAAGCCUCUAUUUAAAAAAGACAAGAUGAAGAAAAAAAUUCAUACUGAGGAGAAAGGUUCAUCUGUCAAUGUGAACAAGGAGUUUACAUCACUAGCAUUCUACUGGUUUUCUUGGGGAAAGAAGUCUCUGCAGAAAAGCCCACAAUCCACAUCCCACUCGGAGCAAAGGCCCUUCUCACCCGAAGAGCCCUAGUGAUUCAUGUCAUCGCCAUCUGUCCCACCGGACACCCCUGAAAACUCACUUCUGGCUAGCAAAACAAGGCACCACUUCUUUUGAGAUAUUUUGACUAUGAAAUGUUUCCGUGGGACAGCUCUAAAAAAUCUGCAUUUAUUCCACAAUCACACAACAAUAAAAUGAGGACCUGACCUUCUAGGUAUGAAGGUACCACAGCACAAUCAUCAACACUGCUACCAAAUCUCAUCUGCUAAUAUGUAAAAUGUCUCCUUCUCCAGCUGACAAGCGAUAUUCUACCACAAGCCCCACUAUUGUGAACCACGAUAAUAUAAAAUGAAAUUAGGAAAAAGAUAAGAUGACCGGGACGAAGUACCUUGCCUACACACGCCCCCUCCCUAUCACCACCAUCUUCUGCCCUUGACUCUUCAACCAACGAAGGAGAGAAAAGAAAGAAGAGAAUGAAACGUGCAAUGCAGACUAUAGCAUCACGGACAGCAGCGUUGGUUACAACAUCUUAUUAGGGUCCUUUAAAAAUACAGAAAGAGAACAAAUGAAGGAGAACCUAGAACCACCACUUACUGCUUUUUCUUAUGACUUUUGGCUCAAUGUAUGUUUUACACAAAAAGAAAUGCUACAAGGAUUUGGUACCAGGUAAACAAUAUAUAAAUUGUUAGGGAAAAAAGGAAAAUCUCUUUUUUUAAAAAAUGAGAGGUUCUACUUUUUAGGGUCAUAAUUGUAUAAGUUCAAUGUUUCUAGCAUAUCUUUCUAGAAGAAAGACUAGAACAGCCACAGGUGAAAAAGGAAACUGAUAAAUGGAGGGGGUAAUAUAGUAGAUCCUGUGACGACAUCCUUUAUCCUGCACUAAAACUGCAAUGCUGCAGAAUGCCAUCCCCCUCUUGAAAUCCUGACUCUUUGAGAAUAGCAAAUGGUGGUAUUACUCAUGCAUGACCUUUGCCAAAAAGUGGCUGGCAGAUGGGUUUGCCCAGCAAAGUGGAGAUGUGAUGAGAUUAUUCUGAGUCCCUAUGCAAGUAGCCCAGUUGAGCCUGGACAAGAAUUUCACUGGAUCAGAGGCUUUUUACUUUCACAGAACGUAGACAAAUGUGCCAUGUCACAAUGGCUUCCACUCACGUCCUGGUUUAUCAUCAUUCCUCCCUCCACUCCUCAACAGAAACCAAAAAAAAGGCAAUUAUCUUUCUUCCAGCUACAGAUGUUAAUCCUCAACUAACAUCCCAUACCGGCAGUGUCUGCAAUGUAGUAGAAAGGCUUUGAAGCCUGCAAAUCAUUUAGGACCAAAAGGAGGAAAUCCAAGUCCAAUUAUGGGAAAAUGAAAAAAAGAAAAAGAGCAGAAAAGCCCUUCAAAUCAGACCACACAGAAGGCCAAAACCACAGAUGAAAGGAACUGAGAAGCUAUGGGUUUUUUUUGCUGCCUUUUAAAUACAGACCCCUAGGCAAAGGCAGCACUUAUUUAACAUAUCCACAGGUAUUAAAGUCUAUAACAUAUAAGGUGCUAGAAAAAUAAUUUCAGUGAUUGUUACUUAUGGGUCUAGAUAAUUCUUAAUAUUGACAAACAUUGGUAUCCAUGUAAAAGACAAAAGUAGAAAAUAUCACUAAACUUGGAGGUAGAAACCAGACUUGAAUUCUGCCUCUAUGUAUAGCCUUUGGAAAAUUACUUUUUGUUUCAAAGCCCAAGUUUCUUCAUCUAUAAAAAUAUGGAUUAAAAAUACCUUCAUUCAAAGAGUUGUACUAUAACUUUUCAAUGAAAUUCAUGUAUAUGUCUGAAAAACAGUAUCUAAUAAAUAUAAACUGUGUAUGAUUCUGAUCUUUAAUACAGAUUAAGACUCCCAAGUAAAAGUCCUUUUUCUUUUUUUAAAUCAUGGAAAAGACACAAAUUUUGUUGUCACAAGAUGAUGGUUCAAUGGUUCUAGGUCAGAUUUUGUUCCUCCUGGCAAGAUGAUCUUGGGUAAGUCUUUUCUCUUUCCAAGUCCUAGGUUCUCCAUUUCAUUUAUUUGCUUGUAAACCUGAAUUCAUUUGGAGGCACUAACAGUAAACACGGCAAAUAAAGUCCCCGCCCUUAUGGAACUUAGCAAGUCAUGAGGAGACCUAAAAGCAAUGAAUGUACAGUGUUGGCUACUGUU